UACGAAGGGGGGCUAGCGUUGUUCGGAUUUACUGGGCGUAAAGCGCGCGUAGGCGGAUCGUUAAGUCAGGGGUGAAAUCCUGGAGCUCAACUCCAGAACUGCCUUUGAUACUGGCGAUCUCGAGUCCGGGAGAGGUGAGUGGAACUCCGAGUGUAGAGGUGAAAUUCGUAGAUAUUCGGAAGAACACCAGUGGCGAAGGCGGCUCACUGGCCCGGUACUGACGCUGAGGUGCGAAAGCGUGGGGAGCAAACAGG
rnacentral:rRNA from 1 species